GGCCAUAGCUCAGUAGCAGAGCAUCUGGUUUGGAUGCAGAAGGUCCCAGGUUCAUUCCCUGACAGCAUCU